GACAGUCACAUCAGGUUGAAACACCAGUUUUCAUACAAUCACUGAAGUUAAGCAACAUCAAACCUGAUCAGUACCUAGAUGGGUGACCACUUGGGAAUACUAGGUGCUGUAUG